GUUUUCCUGUCAAGCUGGAGUCCAGGAGUCCCACCAUGUUGCUGGUCUCCUGGUUGGAGAAUCACCAAGAUGUGAUCUAUAGUCACACUGUGAACCUGUAUCAUGUAGAACUGGGAUUUUACAACAAGCUUAGCAUGGACACUACUACCCACCCCCACUAUCACUUCUCGGCUCUGGAUUCCUGCAGCCCCUAUGUGGCUUGUGUGCAGAUUGCAGGCACUCAGUCCUUCACCUGCCUCUUGACUAUUACUGAUCCAGACAUUCCAAAGGACUUUGAGGUCACAUCAUGGAGCACCAGCAGCAUAUCGUUGUCCUGGGAAUGUCCAAUAAACCGAAAGUACUCCAUCUUUCUCCUAACCGCCUUCUACCUUAAUAGUACAAACCACAUCACGGAGGAGGUGGCCUUUUGGCAAAAGGAUGACCUUGUGUUCACUUUGUCUGACCUACCACCCUGCAGCAGGGUGAAGUUUGGCCUGCAAACUGUUUGCCAAGCAGGGAUUGAGUCCCGCUAUAGCAAGAUGAUCUUCAGUGAUGGAAAUUCAGUCCUCUCCAGCAUCAAGGCUUUGCAUCAAACAGCGUUUGGUCCUGACAACUACACCCUUAGCUGGCAGGUGAGGAACAUAUCAUCCAUCUCUAUGUUCAGGGUUUACCACGAAGGGGCGCUACAGGGCACCACCCUCCACACCAACUACACAGUGCAGGGACUGCUGCCAUGCCAUAAAUAUGAGGCCAAGGUGGAGGCACUGUGUGGAGAUGGUGUGCUCAUGAGUGCCAAGACAGUCACAGGACACACAGGCCCUCGUGGUGUGUCAGAGCUCAGGUAUCGUUCUAAUGACUCCACCGCGCUUUGGACACCCAGCAUCCCACAGCAGCCAGCGAGAGCUUUUAUAUAUGAGCUAUCCAUGGAGAAGGGUCCCAUCAUUCAGAGCAGUCGUUUGACCUCUACAGAGCUG
rnacentral:lncRNA from 1 species